rnacentral:rRNA from 1 species
AGGACGAACGCUGGCGGCGUGCUUAACACAUGCAAGUCGAGCGGAAAGGCCCUUCGGGGUACUCGAGCGGCGAACGGGUGAGUAACACGUGAGUAAUCUGCCCCUAGCUCUGGGGUAGCUCCGGGAAACCGGGAUUAAUACCAGAUACGACCACUUUAGACAUCUGCUGUGGCGGAAAGAUUUCGGCUAGGGAUGAGCUCGCGGCCUAUCAGCUUGUUGGUGAGGUAACGGCUCACCAAGGCGACGACGGGUA